rnacentral:misc_RNA from 1 species
AAGUCGUAACAAGGUUUCCGUAGGUGAACCUGCGGAAGGAUCAUUAACACGUAUCCAAACGUUAAAACCCCCCCCGUGAACUUUCAAUCCUGCUCUUGUAACCCGCGUAGUUCCGCAAUCUCUGGUAAAUCAUAGCCCGGAAAGUUGUUUUGAUUCAGAGACCUCUGGCUACGUGAGAACAAUGGAACAGUUACAAUCGAGCGGUAGUUUCAUAGGCAUUGUUUCCCCAAGCAGUCAGUGUCGGAAAGUGUCACUGAUUGUGCAAGGAUAGCGCUUCACGAUUCCUGUAGACCGUACACUCGGGCAGGAGCUAUGCCAAAGGGUCCCCAUGCCCCCUACACGUGCCGAUUUCUAUUAAAAGCUCCAUUUUCAAUUAUGGAUGGGGUAAAACCGAACAACUGUUAACAAUGGAUAUCUUGGUUCUC